rnacentral:tRNA from 1 species
UGUUCUGAGAGGUUGGUCCCCGUAGGUAGAUCUACAGUCUACUGCCUAUAAGCUCGGCCAUCAAAAC